UCUCCGGGCUAUAACAAGCAUUGAGAUGCCCAUCCGGGAGAACAAUCUCUCAGGGAUGAAUUGGGCUGCAAACUGAUGCAUGCCAUACGUGGUAAGCGAACAGAGACUAGGAGCCAGAGUUAUGAUUAAUUUAAAUUGAGAGGAAUCAAAUGCUCGCGUAAAAUAAUAUUCCCUUACUUGAGUAAGGGAACCGAGGGUUUUAAACGCACUGUAAGAAUUCAUUGUGACAAUGGUGAUAAUGCGGAGAUUGUUCGUGGAGGAAUCCCUUUGUUGCUGUUUUCACUCUUGAGUGGGUGCAGAAUGCGUGCCUUUGCACUAUGCAAAUAUGUCCCUAGCGCCUUUGUUUACACACUUCCACGAAUGACGUGCAUUCUUAGGGCAUGAAAUAAAAACAAGAAUAUAUGUUGUUAGUCAUGCUAAAGUGAUUACCCUUAUGUGAAAAAUUGUGAUUAAAUGCUAAUUAGUAAUAACAAAUGAUAAUGUGAUACUCAGUGGAGCCACUGUACUCUGUACAAAGAGAAUGUGCUGUCCGAAAAUACAAGAACUGUUUCCAUGUAUUUUUUGGGCUGAUUGUUCUCAAUCACUUAUCGAACUCAUGCGAGAGGGGGCUGGUGUUUCUAAGAACAUUUCAGAGCAACGGGCGAGUGUGAGAGACGACAUUCACGAAGGCAGCGCAGAACAAUUUAAUGGCCCACCGCUCGUCAGGAGCAGAGCAGGGCUGAUACACUGAUUCCCACCGACCUCUUUCUGCCGCCGAAGGAGUCGAGAACAGGAAAACAAAAGUGUAAUUUCUAACUGGGUAGAUAGAGGCACAAGUGGAGACGGAGCGGACGAACGUCCUGAAAGUUACUAACAUCGCGAAGUGACACCAUAACAUAACAUUUACUUGUAAGCACAUUACUGAGGAAUGAACCAUACAGUGCACGAUAUGUUUAUUGCUGGGAGAGAUAAAUGGAGAUCUGUCCUGUGCAUCUUUAAUAAUAAUUUCCGCAAAGGCCCACUGACAACAACUGUUCAAAUAGAAAUCUGGUAUUGUAAAAUGUUACUGAACUUACACUGACCAAAAUAUUUUCCAUACAUAACUUCGUGUGUUCUUGCUUUACGCAUGGGUGCCUGAAUAAUAAUUCUGAAUAAAUCGUUUAAGGAUA